UAGAUUAACUCAAGAGUAAAUUUUCAUAUUUGUAUAUACAUAUUGAAAUUCUUUGUUUCGUAAUUCUUCUUUUCACCUGAAUGAAUUUUUGAUACUCACAACGUUUGUUCUGUAUGGUCAAAACCAAUAAGAAAGAUUUGUACCAAUAGUUAAAAAAUGCUUAUUGACAGUCCAUAGAAUUUAAUGAAAAUCUGUUCAUGGGAAUCAGACUGUCUUUGAUUUGAGGUUCUUUCUUUUUAGAAUUCAUUUUGAACAUUUUAUGCACAAUUUGUUUUUGAAUACAUCAAUUUGUACUGCUUCAGGACAGGGGCUGACUUGAAACAAUUUGCCAACUCAAUUCCUAAAUACUUUAAAUUGAACAAAUGAACAACAUUUAAAUUUAUUGGUAGUUCUUUUUCCAGAGUUUGCCCAUGAGUAUUAGACAACUACAUUCUUCAUUGCAUUCUAUCUCGUCUAUUGAUCACUUUUUACUAGUAAUAUUCUGUGCCAGAAAUUUUUGCAUGGUGUAUUCCAUUGGUGUGGUGGUUAAAGCUAAAGACAUAGGUUGUCCAAUGGUGAAUGCAUUAGUUGCACCUAUCAAAGACCAAAAUUACUAGUUUCCUUAAUGAUUCUUUAUAACAUGUGUUCUACUCUCUUUUUCUGGAAGCAGUGCAGGGUUGCGUGCACUAAUGGAGUUUCAAUCCCUUUUUGUCCUUUCAUAAAGAAUCAGUAUGUAUUAAUGUACUCCUUCAACUUAAACGGUCUUAAAUACGUGAUGUGUAUUAUAAGUGGUAGAGUAACCUUGCUUCCAUAAUCUAUUGAGAUUCAACCCUUAGUCAUUCUGAUUUGUCUG
rnacentral:misc_RNA from 1 species